UGACCCAUCUGCUCAAUUCUUCUUCAAUUUCUAUUUCCUUCUGCACGCAACUCAACUGAAGAGACCGAGAGAGAAAUGGCGUGGUUGACCCGAUUCCUAACGGCGGUGGUUUUUCUCGCCAUCGGAGUAGUAUUUUCGCCGGAGACCUUCGGAUCGAACUCCAAAACCUUCAAUGCGCCGAAGCUUUCGAUGUAUCUCAAAUUGGCUCAUCUUCUCAGCUACUCCACCGCCUGGGGCGCCGCUCUCUGGGUCACCUUCAUCGGCGGCAUCAUCAUGUUCAAGAAUCUGCCAAGGCACCAAUUCGGGAAUCUUCAAAGCAAGAUGUUCCCUGCCUACUUCUCAAUGGUAGGGAUUUGCUGUGCCACAUCCGUUGCAGCUUUUGGUUAUCUUCAUCCAUGGAAGUCUGCAGCAACUUCUGAGAGGUACCAGCUUGGGUUUUUGAUAUCGGCGUUUGCUUUUAAUUUGGCAAACCUGUUUGUCUUCACACCCAUGACCAUUGAGCUGAUGAAACAAAGACACAAAGUGGAGAGGGAAAGUAAUAUUGGCGAGGAAGUUGGGUGGUCAAAAAAUGUAGAAGUUGCAAAGGUGAAUCCAAAACUUGCAGCAAUGAACAAGAAAUUCGGGA
rnacentral:misc_RNA from 1 species